rnacentral:lncRNA from 1 species
UUGUAGAUAUAUUUAUCACACAUAACCAGGUCUUCAUGGAAGUUGAAAACCAAAAGGGGUUGUGGAUUCAACUCCCACAGUAGCAUUUCUAACAAUUUCUAACAUAUACCAUAAAAAAUCAACAUUAAUUAAAAAAAAUACUAACCAGUUUAAUCACAUAAAAAACAUGUCAUCAAUUGAACAAAACAAUACAGCAACCUAAAUACAAGUACAUCAAUGAAAAUCAUAACUAUAAACUGACAAAAGGAUACAAAUCGGACAACAAAUCGGUACUU